rnacentral:sRNA from 1 species
UUGAUAGCACUAGAAAUUCAAGGCCAGUUUAUACACAGAACAGGUACCGCUUGGGCAGGAGCAGUGUAAAUUUCCUUACACUGCCCUGCUAAUGUGAUUGAACCUUGAGUUAAGGGACCAUCUUGAGGGGUAAGAAGGAUUUCAUAACCCUGCCCUCGGCCUCUAAU